CGACACAAAAUGAAAUAGAAGAGACAGCAACCGACGUAAUAAAAUGUAAAAUCCUUAAAACCUAAUCAGAUGCCUACUGUUCACAACCUAACUCUCUUCAAAUUUGCUCUGGCGAAACAGGCGGCUCCUCUGACCUCUUUGAUACUGCGCCCAGUCGAAGAGAACCAAAGGGCUCGAGUGGAUUCAACUACACCCCAUCUCAUCCACUUCAAAAACUGUAAUCCCUAAAAGUUGGUUUCCUCUCACUCGUGAUUCUCCCUCCCUCACAUUUUUCUCUCGCUAUUUUGUCGAUAUACCCUAAACGCAUACUCCGUCUCUCGAACCAACUCGCAUUUUGUGUCCCUUGCUUCUUGGUCUGCCGCCGCCGCUGGAGUAGCCUUCACAGAGGACCAUGUCACAGGCAAUAAUAAGAACAUUGAGAUUAAACAUCCUGGAAAUAUUAGUUUUGGAACUACAGAGGUAGUAUAUAGUGUUGGAGCUUGCUCAGAGCGUAAAAGAUUCGUCGAAUUGUCAAGUGAAAAUAAGAGGAAGACUAAGAAAAUAUAGGCUAUCAAAAACAAAGAACCACUGGUGCUCUUCAUUAUAUUUAUGAAAAGGGCUCUCAUGUAAUGUGGUGAGACUUUAUUAUUAGAAUUCUAGCUAGUACCACCUAUAUAUAGUUGUUUAGAGCUUGUAUAUUCGUAAUUUGGUGCAUUGCCUUAUAUAGCCAGAGAUUAUCAAUGAGUAAAUUCCUAAAUAAUAAUAAUACAAAAAUAAGUUUUUUGUUUUUUUAAUUAAUGAGAUUUGAUUUGAAUGCAUUUGUAUAAUUUAUCCAGCUUUAAGAAAAAUAUUACGAUGUUAUAAGCUGUUCAAUGUAUUAUAUAUAUAUUAAUUAAUGUGAUGACUAAUGUUUACUGUCUACUUGUUUUUUUUUUUGUGCUGGGAUGAAAUUAUCAAUCGGAUGGAUGUUCUGAAUCCCCAGGUAUGCCAUUCAUUGUUUAUUAAGAUAAUAAGCUUAUGAUUAUCAUUAAGUAUUUAUUCAAAGAAGAGAUAGUAUUCAUUGAAUCCACAGGUAUGCCAUUCAUUUUUUUCUCUGUGUUAUGUUUUGUAU